rnacentral:rRNA from 1 species
GAUGAACGCUAGCGGCAGGCCUAAUACAUGCAAGUCGAACGGUAGAUCGGGUAGCAAUACUUGAUUGAGAGUGACGUAAGGGUGCGUAACACGUAUGCAAUCUACCCUCAACAGGAGUAUAGCUCGGGGAAACUCGGAUUAACACUCCAUAACAUUACGAUGUGGCAUCACAUUGUGAUUAAAACUCCGGUGGUUGAGGAUGAGCAUGCGUCUGAUUAGUUAGUUGGAGGUGUAACGGACCCCCAAGACGAUGAUCAGUAGGGGAACUGAGAGGUUGAUCCCCCACACUGGCACUGAGAUACGGGCCAGACUCCUACGGGAGGCAGCAGUAGGGAAUAUUGGUCAAUGGGGUGAGAGCCUGAACCAGCCAUGCCGCGUGCAGGAAGACGGCCUUCUGGGUUGUAAACUGCUUUUUAUCUGGGGAUAAAAAGCCCAUGCGUGGGACAUUGAAGGUACCAGAUGAAUAAGCACCGGCUAACUCCGUG